rnacentral:rRNA from 1 species
GGUUUGAUUGCGGCUCAGAUUGAACGCUGGCGGGCUUGUGCUUUACACAUGCAAGUCGAACGGCAGCACGGACUUCGGUCUGGUGGCGAGUGGCGAACGGGUGAGUAAUGUAUCGGAACGUGCCUAGUAGCGGGGAUAACUACGCGAAAGCGUAGCUAAUACCGCAUACGCCCUUCGGGGGAAAGCGGGGACCUUUCGGGCCUCGCACUAUUAGAGCGGCCGGAUAUCGGAUUAGCUAUUGGUGGGGUAACGGCUCACUAAGGCGACGAUCCGUAGCUGGUUUGAGAGGACGUGACCAGCCACACUGGGACUGGAGACACGGCCCAGACUCCUACGGGAGGCAGUGCAGUGGGGAAUUUUGGACAAUGGGGGAAACCCCUGAUCCAGCCAUCCCGCGUGUGCGAUGAAGGCCUUCGGGUUGUAAAGCACUUUUGGCAGGAAAGAAACGGCACGGGAUAAUACCGUGCAACUGACGGUACCUGCAGAAUAAGCACCGGCCAACCACGUGCCAGCAGCCGCGGUAAUACGUAGGUGCAAGCGUUAAUCGGAAUUACUGGGCGCAAGCGUGCGCAGGCGGUUCGGAAAAAGAAAGAUGUGAAAUCCCAGAGCUUAACUUUGGAACUGCAUUUAACUACCGAGCUAGAGUGUGUCAGAGGGAGGUGGAAUUCCGCGUGUAGCAGUGAAAUGCGUAGAUAAGCAGGAGUGGGAAACGACCGAUGGCGAAGCGCAGCCUCCUCUUGAUAACACUGACGUGUCAUUAUGCACGAAAGCGUGGGGAGCAAACAGAUUAGAUACCCUUACAAGUAGUUCCGCCGCCCUAAACGAUGUCAACUAGCUGUUGGGCCUUCGGGCCUGGUGAAGGCAGCGCCAACGGUGAAGUUGACCGCCUGGGGAGUACGGUCGCAAGAUUAAAACUCAAAAGGAAUUGACGGACCCGCACAAGCGGUGAUGAUGUGGAUUAAUUCGAUGCAACGCGAAAACCUUACCUACCCUGACAGAUGUCUGGAAUCCUUGAAGAGAUUUGGGAGGCGUUGCAAGAGAACCGGAACACAGGUGCUGGGUAUGGUUGCCGUCAGCUCGUGUCGUGAGAUGUUGGGUUAAGUCCCGCAACGAGCGCAACCUCGUCAAGAAGAGCGCUGAAAGGGCACUCUAUCGAGACUGCCGGUGACAACCGGAGGAAGGUGGGGAUGACGCCAAGCCCUAUGGCCUCUGCGGCAGGGCUUCACACGUCAUACAAUGGUCGGGACAGUGGUCGCCAACUCCGCGAGGGGGAGCUAAUCCCAGAAACCCGAUCAGGUCCGGAUCGCAGUCUGCAACUCGACUGCGUGAAGUCGAAUCGCUAGUAAUCGCGGAUCAGCAUGUCGCGGUGAAUACGUUCCUGGCCCUGUACACACCGCCCGUCACACCAUGGGAGUGGGUUUUACCAGAAGUAGUUAGCCUAACCGUAAGGAGGGCGAUUACCACGGUAGGAUUCAGCCACUGGGGUAGUCGUAACAAGGUAG